rnacentral:rRNA from 1 species
AUGGUACACGACUACUACAGCCUACUCACCUUCAGAGGAGUAUGUUGGGAGCCAGCGGAGAUGAUUUGGGAUAAAACCAUUCCCAGGAGAUGGCAGAUCUUCCUAUGGCUUGCUUUCAAGGGUAGGCUGAAUGUUAGAACAUUCAUGCUUCGGAAGCAAUGGAAGAAUAUUGAACACCCAUAUUGUGAUUCCUCUCCGGCUGAAGAAACUGUGGAUCAUAUAAUUUUGAGAUGCGCUCCAGCUCACUUUCUGUGGAGUAAGCUUGAGGUCUUGCAGCACGCAACAGAAUCACACUCUUUGAUAGACUUUGUGCGGGCUCUUUGA